UACAAAGCAAAAACAGCCCUCUUUCCCCAUUAUCCCUUACUGUCAUCAAGCUUGACAGCUGAUACUUGGCCAGGAUGCUAACAAACAGUGCAGCUCUAAAAGGAAUAGCAAGAUUAUUUCCAGCCUAAAUGGCAAGCUUUGCCAGGACAAAGCCACUAUUAGAGCUGUUAGAACUUGCAAACUUUGGUUUCCCUAUAAAGGUAAGAUGGUAGAAGGUGCAACCUUCAGCAUGCAUAUCUCUGAAACAUUCAACCAGCCAGCCUUCUCUCCCACCGUGGCUCUUCUGGAUUAAAUGAGACUAGAAUGCCUUCCAGGACGAAACAAGUAGAUGCAAGAAGAAAGGCAGAGUGCAUCAUGUGCCAAUCAUUCUGGCUGACGCAGCAACUUUAUGGGAACUUACUUCUCCCACUUCAUUUUCCAUUAUUGGUAUCUGAAAAGGCAGAGGAAAGAUAUCCAGGCUGUGCAAAUGAGAGCAUUGGGGGCACCUGUGAUUCCAGUUCACUGUCAGUUUUGUGUGCAUUUCUACUCCCAAGUAGCUGCCUAACUAAUCUGAUGUAAAUUAAUUUUUUACCCAUUAAAAUGUUGGUGUAAUAUUUAAA